rnacentral:RNase_P_RNA from 1 species
UAAGUAGAUCGCCUUAUCGCUGAAUACCCAACUAGAUUGGGUAUCUUAUUUUUUGAAUUGAAAGAUUUAUAAAUAAGAUCCCCGCUUUCGCGAGGAUUUAGAGGAAAGUCCGAACACCACAGUGCAGCAUAGUGGCUAAUAACCACCAGUCGUGAGGCUAGGAAUAGUGCAACAGAAAGUAUGUACAGGUCAAGCUGUAGUGAAACCAUGUAAACUCUAUGCGGUGCAAUGCCAUGUAUACCAGUGCUUAAGGGUAGCACGCCCAAUACUGGAGGGUAGGCAGCUAAAGUGUAUUGGUAACAAUGCACUCAGAUAAAUGAUAAGGGUGUUUUGUACUUGAUUUAGGAUCCCGAUAGCUAUCGGGACUGAAACAAGUUCAGGAUAUACAGAAUUCGGCUUAUAGAUUUGCUUACAUA